rnacentral:rRNA from 1 species
GAUGAACGCUGGCGGCGUGCCUAAUACAUGCAAGUCGAGCGAACGGACGAGAAGCUUGCUUCUCUGAUGUUAGCGGCGGACGGGUGAGUAACACGUGGAUAACCUACCUAUAAGACUGGGAUAACUUCGGGAAACCGGAGCUAAUACCGGAUAAUAUUUUGAACCGCAUGGUUCAAAAGUGAAAGACGGUCUUGCUGUCACUUAUAGAUGGAUCCGCGCUGCAUUAGCUAGUUGGUAAGGUAACGGCUUACCAAGGCAACGAUGCAUAGCCGACCUGAGAGGUUGAUCGGCCACACUGGAGCUGAGACACGGUCCAGACUCCUGCGGGAGGCAGCAGUAGGGAAUCUUCCGCAAUGGGCGAAAGCCUGACGGAGCAACGCCGCGUGAGUGAUGAAGGUCUUCGGAGCGUAAAACUCUGUUAUUAGGGAAGAACAUAUGUGUAAGUAACUGUGCACAUCUUGACGGUACCUAAUCAGAAAGCCACGGCUAACUACGUG